UUUAGCAUGGAAUAAUGGAAUAGGACGUGUGGUUCUAUUUUGUUGGUUUCUAGGACCGCCGUAAUGAUUAAUAGGGAUAGUCGGGGGCAUCAGUAUUCAAUUGUCAGAGGUGAAAUUCUUGGAUUUAUUGAAGACUAACUACUGCGAAAGCAUUUGCCAAGGAUGUUUUCAUUAAUCAGUGAACGAAAGUUAGGGGAUCGAAGACGAUCAGAUACCGUCGUAGUCUUAACCAUAAACUAUGCCGACUAGGGAUCGGGCGAUGUUAUCUUUUUGACUCGCUCGGCACCUUACGAGAAAUCAAAGUUUUUGGGUUCUGGGGGGAGUAUGGUCGCAAGGCUGAGACUUAAAGAAAUUGACGGAAGGGCACCACCAGGAGUGGAGCCUGCGGCUUAAUUUGACUCAACACGGGGAAACUCACCAGGUCCAGACACAAUAAGGAUUGACAGAUUGAGAGCUCUUUCUUGAUUUUGUGGGUGGUGGUGCAUGGCCGUUCUUAGUUGGUGGAGUGAUUUGUCUGCUUAAUUGCGAUAACGAACGAGACCUUAACCUGCUAAAUAGCCCGGCUAGCUUUGGCUGGUCGCUGGCUUCUUAGAGGGACUAUCGGCUCAAGCCGAUGGAAGUUUGAGGCAAUAACAGGUCUGUGAUGCCCUUAGAUGUUCUGGGCCGCACGCGCGCUACACUGACAGAGCCAACGAGUUCAUCACCUUGGCCGAAAGGUCUGGGUAAUCUUGUUAAACUCUGUCGUGCUGGGGAUAGAGCAUUGCAAUA
rnacentral:rRNA from 1 species